UACUAUCCACAGCUUUGGCAUCCACUGGGGAUCUUGAAAGUAUCCCCUGUGGAUGAGGGGUACUACUGUCUACGUACAUAUUGAUCUUUUGUACACAAACACACAAACGUUUGACAAAAGAUCAUUAUCUACAAUAUAUAUAAGUAGUUUCUAUUAAUAGAUAAGAAACAGACAACAAUUUAAAAAUUAGGCAAAAGGAUGGGUGCAGUGGCUUACGCCUGUAAUCCCAGCACUUUGGGAGGCCGAGGCGGAUGGAUCACCUGAGGUCAGGAGUUCGAGCCAACAUGGCAGAGCCCCGUCUCUACUAAAAAUACAAAAAUUAGCCAGGUGUGGUGGUGGGUGCCUGUAAUCCCAGCUACUUGGGAAGCUGAGGCAGGAGAAUCACUUGAACCCAGGAGGCGGAAGUUACUGUGGGCCAAGAUCGCGCCAUUGCACUCCAGCCUGGGCCACAGAGCGAGACUCCAUCUCAAAAAAAGAAAAAAAAAAUUAGGUAAAGGAUAUAACUAAGCAAUUCAUGGAAAAAUAAACUUGAAAGGCUAAAGAACAAAUGAAAUGAAAUAGAAUGAAUGUUUUACUUCAUUCUAUCAAGGAAAUGGAAACUAAAAUAACAUUUUGUCAUUCAUUUGGCAAAAUCAUAAAAGGUUGUUAUUUUUUAUUGAUAGUGAGGGGUAGGGGACUGGUUACAUACCUCCAUCCCCUGCUGGAGUGUAAAUAGGUGCAGCCACUUUGGGGAUGUACCUACUUAACAGUAGUUACUCAAAUUUAACAAGUAUAUACCUUCACCCAGGACUGUACUAUCAUCUGUAUCAGCAGAAGUCUCAAAACAAGCUAAAUAUCCUUUAGUAGAGAAGUAGUUUUUAAAAAUGAUCAUAAUGGGCCAGGUGCGGUGGCUCGUGCCUGUAAUCCCAGCACUUUGGGAGGCUGACGCAAGCGGAUGAUGUGAGGCCAGGAGUUUGAGACCAAACUGACCAAUAUGGCGAGUCCCCAUCUCUACUAAAAAUACAAAAAUUAGCCAGGUGGUGGUACAUGCCUGUAAUCCCAACUACUCAGGUGGCUGAGGCAGGAGAAUUGCUUAAACCCAGGAGGUAGAGGUUUCAGUGAGCCAAGAUCACCCCACUGCACUCCAGUCUGGGGAAGAGCCUGUCUCAAAAAAAAAAAAAAAAAAAAGAUCAUAAUGAACAUCUAAUAGAAAGAAUGAGAUAAGACUUGGAUAAUGCAGUGGAAACACCUCCACAACUUACCAUUAAGUGAAAGAAAAAAAAAAGAAGAAGCUGUAGAACAGAGUGUAUCAUAUAACGCUAAACAAUACAUAUAGUAUAAUGCCAAUUAUGUAAAAAGAGGAAUAAAAAUCCCACAUUUGUGUAUAUAUGAAUAUAAAUGUAUAGAAAGGGAAUGGGAUUUUUCCAGGAGAAUCAAGGGGGAGAAUCUUUAGCUUUACACAUAUUAAUGUUUCACUUCUGGUUGACUAAUUUUUAAGUAUGCAAGUGAAUAGUACCACUUACCUUUUUUUCACUCAACAAUAUGUCUUGGCCAGGCAUGGUGGCUCAUGCCUAUAACCCCAGCACUUUGAGAAGACAAGGUAGGAGAACCACCUGAGCCUAGGAGUUCAAGACCAGCCUGGGCAACAUAGUGAGAAGUGGGACUCCGUCUUUCCAAAAAAAUAAAAAAUGAGCCAGGCAUGGUGGCACACACCUGUAGUCCUAGCUACUUGGGAGGCUGAAGUGGGAGGAACACUUGAGCCUGGGAGUUUGAGGGAGCAGUGAGCUAUGAUCAUGUCACUGCACUCCAGCCUGGGCAAGAUAGCACAACCCUGUCUCAAAAAAAAAAAAAAAGAAAAAGAAAAUGUCUUGACAAUUUUUCCAUGUUAGGAGAUAAAGAUCUAAUAACUGCUACAGAAAACAUAAUGGAAUGGUUAUAUCAUAGUUCAUUUUGCAACUGUCUUACAGACUGAUGGAUGGACAUUUAGGUGGCUUCCACUUUUUUCAAUAUGCAGACUGUGCACCUGUGCCAGUGAGUUUCUCUGAGUUAUAAGCUGAGAUGUGUAAUCACUGGAGCACAGGAAAUAGCCCUUAUUACUUUUCACAUAUUCUGCCAGACAGCCCUCCACUGAGGCUGUUCCAAUUUACAUUCCACCUGCAGUGUCUGAGAAUUUUCAAUGCUUAAUCCCGUCAUCAGCCCUAACUAUUAACUUUACAUUUUGUCGACCUGGUGGGUGAAAAAUGACAUCCUAGGUUCUAAAUUGCAUCUUUUCUUUUAGCAGUGAGGUUAAGCAUUUUCCCACUGGUUUAUUCGUUGUCAUUUUCUGUGCACUGUUGUUUCACAUUCUUUGUUCUUUCUAUAUUCAGUUAUUUGUCAUUUUCUUAUUGAUUUGUAGAAGCUCUUUAUAUGUUUUGGUCACUGAUCCUUUGUCUUCCAUCUGCUUUUUGUUUUUCAGAAAGUUUUCAAAGUCUCUGGCCUCCUUGUGGUAUUCUUUUAUUUUUUAACACCCUUAUCAAUGUAUCGUUUACAUGUCAUAAAAUUCACCCAUUGUAAGGGUACAAUCCAAUGAUACUAGCAAAUUUUUAGAGUUGUGCAACCAACUCCACAAUCCGGUUUUAGAACAUUUCCAUCAUCCAAAAGUUCCCUUGUGCCUAUUUGUAGUUAAUCCCUGCUCCCACCCCACCCCUAGGCAACCACUGACUUGCCUUCUGUUUCUAUAGGUUUGCCUUUUCUAGACAUUUUAUAUAAAUGGAAUCAUACAAUAUGUAGUCUUUUGCAUUUGGCUUCUUUCACUUAACAUAAUAUUUGUGAGAUUCAUUCCACUUUGUUGUAUGUAUUACUAAUUCGUUCUUCCUUUAGAUUACUGAGUAGUGUUUAGAUAUUGUAUUUGUUUAUCCAUUCACCAAUUGAUAGACUUUUGAGUUGCUGUCAUUUUUUGCUAUUUUGGAUGAUAGCUAUGUUUAUAAAUGGCUGUAAAUAUUUGUGCAUGAGUCUUUGUGUGGAUAUAUACAUAUACGUAUAUUUUAGAGAUGGGGGUCUUGCUAUGUUGCCAAGGCUGGCCUUGAACUCCUGGGUUCAAUUGAUCUUCCUACUUCAGCCUUCUGAGUAGCUGGGACUACAGGUGCGUGCCACUGCGCUCUACUUUGCCAUAUAUUUUUAUUUCUCUUGGGUUGAUAUCUAGGAGUGGAAUCACUGGGUCAUAUGGUACUAAAGAGGCUAUACCACUUAACGUUUCCACCAGCAAUGCAUAAGCAUUUCAAUUUCUGCACAUUCUCACCAACACUUUUUGUUGUCUAUCUUUUUUAUGAUAGCCUUCUAGCAAGUAUAAAGUAGUAUCUCACUGUGGUUUUUUUUUUUUUUUUUUUGAGACAGAGUCUCGUUCUGUUAUGUUCUGUUCUGCUAUGGCACGAUCUCGGCUCACUGCAACCGCCGCCUCCCAGGUUCAAGCGAUUCUCCUGCCUAAGCCCCUCGAAUAGCUGGGAUUACAGGCAUGUGCCAUAACGCCCAGCUAAUUUUUGUUUUGUUUUAGUUUUGCCAGGAUGGUUUCAAUCUCUUAACCUUGUGAUCCACCUGCCUUGGCCUCCCAAAGUGUUGGGAUUACAGGCAUGAGCCACCACACCUGGUCUCAUUGUGGUUUUAAUUUGCAUUUCUCUAGUGACUCAUGAUGUUAAGCAUCUUUUCAUGUGCUUAUUAGCCAUUCAUGUAUUUUCUUUCAUGACAUGUCUAUGAGAAGAUUUUGCCCAUUUUUUUCUCUUUUAUAUUGUGGUAAAAUAUACAUAACAUAAAAUGUACCAUUUUUAAGUGUACAGUGCAGUGGCUUUAAGUACAUUUGCAUUGUUGUGAACCGUCACCAUCAUCCAUCUCCAGAACUUUUCCAUCUUGCCAAACUGAAACUCUAUCCAUAAAACACUAACUCCACGCCACCCCCCCAUGCCCCACCACCCAGCCCUGGGGCCACCAUUUUACUCUCUGUCUCUGUGGAUUUGACUACGCUACUUACUUCACAUAAGCUGGGAUCAUACAAUAUUUGUCCUUUUGUGUCUGGCUUAUUUCAUUUAGCAUAAUUUUUUUUUUUUUUUUGAGAUGGAGUCUCGCUCUGUCGCCCAGGCUGGAGUGCAAUGGCAUGAUCUCGGCUCACUGCAACCUCUGCCUCCCGGGUUCAAGCAAUUCUCCUGCCUCAGCCUCCUGAGUAGCUGGAACUACAGGGAUUGAGCACGCACAGGAGACGUACAUGUCCACCGAGUCUGCAUCUCAACCCAGCCCUCCACACCGUUUCAUCACAAAAAUAUUUAUGGAUGCUCAAAAGUCACCAUGCCCUCUGCUGGUCACUUGGGGAUACAUGAAAAGAAACGGUCUCUGCCUUUGAGGGAGCUCACAGACUGAUGGGGAAGAUAAGACCAUUACAAGAACAACCUGAGUGGAAUCCUGGAUGCUUCAGAGCUGGAAGAAAAGUCCAGGCCAAGGCAUGUAGGCUGUGCUCAUUUGAUAGAUGGGAAGACUGUGGCUCAGGGAGGGAGGGGAGGUGCAACCCAAAAUCUCUGGGGGCUUUAAGAAGGGAGAGAUGGUCAGGCGCAGUGGCUCAUGCCUAUAAUCCUGGCACUUUGGGCGGCCAAGGCAGGAGGAUCAUUUGACGCCAGGACUUUGAGACCAGCCUGAGCAACACAGUAAGACCUCUGUCUCUACAAAAAAAGUUUUAAAAUUAGCUGAGCAUGCUAGGGUAUGCCUGUGGUCCAGCUACCCGGGAGACUGAGGCAGGAGGAUUGCUUGAGUCUGGGAGGUUGACACCACAGUAAACUGUGACAGAGCCACUGCACUCCGGCCUGGGUGAUAGAGUGAGACUCUGUCUCAGAAAAAAAAAAAAAAAAGAAGGGAGAGAUGCCAUCAGGUUGGGGGCUCAGUAAAGACUCCUUGGAGGAGGGGGCAUUUGGGGGAUGGUAGAAGAGGAGCAAAAACAUGGAGUGUGUGUUUGGAGAAGGGUGUGGCAUGGCAGGGUCUGACCCAACAGCAGAAGCACAGGGCUUGGGGGCAGGUAAGACAGAGAGGGAAAGUUGAGGCCAGAUGGGUGAGGAAGGGAUGAUGCAGCAGGAAUUUAGCUUCUCCCUGAAUGCAGGUUUUCCAAGCUGGCUCUCCACAAGGCAGGCCUCACCCUUCACAGUGCCUCCUUCCAGCUCCUGGCAGGAUCCGAUUCUCUCCAUUCCUCUGCAUUAUUAAGCACCCACCAUGAGCCGGGCGCAGUGCCAGAUGCUAGAGCUAGGACAGUCAAUGCAGCAGACACAGCCCACAGCCUCCUGGGGAGACAAGGAUUAAACAAAAAGCCACACACAGCACCGGCUGCAGGGAGAGGCUAAGGGAUAGAAGGCCAAGCUCUCAGGCUCUGGAGCUCCAAUGCCUGGUGUGGCCCUUUCCUAGUUAGUGACUGGUAUUGUUACUUAACCUCUCUGAGCCUCGGUUUCUCCCUCUGUCAAAUGUGGAUAAUAACAGUCCCCAUCUUACAGGGCCAUCGAAAGGAUUGAGUUCACAUAUGCAAAGAACUGAACAGCUGGCACAGGACGUGUGAUAUAGAAAAGUGUUAGCAGGCUGGGUGUGGUGAGUCACACCUGUAAGCCCAGUGCUUUGGGAGGCCGAGGAAAGAGCAUUGCUUGUGGCCAGGAGUUCAAGACCAGCCUGGGCAACAUAGCAAGACCCUAUCUCUAUUAAAAAUAAAUAAAAAGUGUUAGCUUCUUUCUUACUA